rnacentral:pre_miRNA from 1 species
AUUCUACUCCCCCCGUUGCACAAUACAUGCCUUCUAUUUGUCAAAAUAUAUAUGUAUCUAGACAUGUCUUAGUAUAUAGGUACAUCCAUUUUUGGACAAAUGGAAGUCAAGUAUUUUGGAACGGAGGGAGUACACA